rnacentral:ncRNA from 1 species
UACACAGCGUAGACCGGGACGAGUAACCGGCACACUCGCCACCAGAGAGAGAAGACCAGCGGCUGAAAGUUUUCUCUGGCGUGAACCGGCCAAAACCCCCCGUGAGCUUGAACCUGAAAUGCCCCGGGCAGAAUAAGGCGAACGGAUAGCCCCGUUAACGGCUCAAAGAGAUGUCCGCCGAGCGCAGCUCGCGGACGAAUCUGGGUGGAACCGCGUGAGAUUGCUCUCGCCCCAGUG